UGCCUUCUACAGGUAUAAGAUGCCGAGGAUGAUUACCAAGAUAGAGGGGCGUGGGAAUGGCAUCAAGACAAACAUCGUCAACAUGGUUGACGUUGCAAAAGCUCUAGCGCGGCCAGCAUCUUACACCACAAAACAUUUUGGGUGCGAGCUUGGAGCUCAGUCGAAGUUUGAUGAAAAAACUGGGACUUCCCUUGUCAAUGGAGCUCAUGAUACUGCCAAGCUUGCUGGUCUUCUUGAGAUUUUCAUCAAGAAAUAUGUUCAGUGCUAUGGGUGUGGAAACCCUGAAACUGAGAUCCUCAUCACUAAAACUCAGAUGAUCCAACUGAAGUGUGCUGCAUGUGGUUUUAUUUCUGAUGUGGACAUGAGAGACAAGCUGACAACCUUUAUUCUUAAAAACCCACCCGAGUCUAAGAAGGGAGCCAAAGACAAGAAAGCAAUGAGAAGAGCUGAAAAGGAGCGUCUAAAGGAAGGUGAAGCUGCUGAUGAAGAGCUGAAGAAG
rnacentral:misc_RNA from 1 species